rnacentral:rRNA from 1 species
UACGGAGGGUGCAAGCGUUAUCCGGAUUCACUGGGUUUAAAGGGUGCGUAGGUGGACAGGUAAGUCAGUGGUGAAAUCUCCAAGCUUAACUUGGAAACUGCCGUUGAUACUAUCUGUCUUGAAUAUCGUGGAGGUAAGCGGAAUAUGUCAUGUAGCGGUGAAAUGCUUAGAUAUGACAUAGAACACCGAUUGCGAAGGCAGCUUACUACACGAUCAUUGACACUGAGGCACGAAAGCGUGGGGAGCGAACGGG